rnacentral:rRNA from 1 species
CCUACGGGUGGCAGCAGUGGGGAAUAUUGCACAAUGGGGGAAACCCUGAUGCAGCGACGCCGCGUGAAGGAAGAAGUAUUUCGGUAUGUAAACUUCUAUCAGCAGGGAAGAAAAUGACGGUACCUGACUAAGAAGCCCCGGCUAACUACGUGCCAGCAGCCGCGGUAAUACGUAGGGGGAAAGCGUUAUCCGGCUUUACUGGGUGAAAAGGGAGCGUAGGCGGCGAUGCAAGGCAGAAGUGAAAGCCCGGGGCUCAACUCCGGGACUGCUUUUGAAACUGUGUUGCGAGAGUGCAGGAGAGGUAAGUGGAAUUCCUAGUGUAGCGGUGAAAUGCGUAGAUAUUAGGAGGAACACCAGUGGCGAAGGCAGCUUACUGGACUGUAAAUGACGCUGAGGGUCGAAAGCGUGGGGAGCAAACAGGAUUAGAUACCCGAGUAGUC